rnacentral:misc_RNA from 1 species
UCUCCGUUGGUGAACCAGCGGAGGGAUCAUUACAGAGUUAUCUAACUCCCAAACCCAUGUGAACUUACCAUUUGUUGCCUCGGCGGAGCCUACCCUGUAGCUACCCUAUAAGGUGGUUACCCUGUAACGCUCCGCCGGUGGACUACUAAACUCUUGUUAUUUUUAAAGUAAUCUGAGCGUCUUAUUUUAAUAAGUCAAAACUUUCAACAACGGAUCUCUUGGUUCUGGCAUCGAUGAAGAACGCAGC